rnacentral:rRNA from 1 species
UACAGAGGCCUCGAGCGUUAGGCGGAAUCACUGGGCUUAAAGCGUGUGUAGGCGGACUUCUAAGUGCCUUGUGAAAUCCCACGGCUCAACCGUGGAACUGCUUGGUAUACUGGAUGUCUUGAGCCAUCUAGGGGCUACCGGAACAAAUGGUGGAGCGGUGAAAUGCGUAGAUAUCAUUUGGAACGCCAAUGGUGAAAACAGGUAGCUGGGGAUGUGCUGACGCUGAGACACGAAAGCCAGGGGAGCAAACGGG